UACGUAGGGUGCAAGCGUUGUCCGGAAUUAUUGGGCGUAAAGAGCUCGUAGGCGGUUUGUCGCGUCUGCUGUGAAAAACCCGAGGCUCAACCUCGGGCCUGCAGUGGGUACGGGCAGACUAGAGUGCGGUAGGGGGAGAUUGGAAUUCCUGGUGUAGCGGUGGAAUGCGCAGAUAUCAGGAGGAACACCAAUGGCGAAGGCAGAUCUCUGGGCCGUAACUGACGCUGAGGAGCGAAAAGCAUGGGGGAGCGAACAGG
rnacentral:rRNA from 1 species